ACAGCAUAUCAGCGAUAUUGUGGUGAUGUACUUUAGUGUUGUUGCUGCACUGUAUUUAGAUUAGAUUUUCUUCAGUACUGAGUUUCAACAUGAGAGUUGUCAUCAUAUUCACGGUUACACUGAUCCAUCUCUCAGGUUUUUCUCUUAGUAACAAAGUCGACCAGUCUCCACCUGAUAUAAUUAAGAAACAAGGAGAAUCUGCAGAGAUCCGGUGUUUGCACAGUGUGUCCAGUUACAAUCAGAUCAACUGGUACAAACAGGGCCAAGGGUUCACAUUAAUGGGAUAUUUGGUUGGAACAUCAAACUACAGCGAAAAAGGAUUCACAGAUAAAAUAGUCAUGUCUGGGAAUGGAAAUAGCAAUGGACAUUUUACCAUCAAAAAUCUUGCAUCUAGUGACAGUGCAGUGUAUUUUUGUGCAGCAUAUUACACAGUGUUUUAGAUCCUUGCUGUUCAUUACAAAAACCUCUCUUUAAUUCUGUGGUUAACAGAUAAAGCUUCAUUCACACCUGCUCCUGUGUUUUGAUCUGUGAGAGUUUAUAAUGAGAAACACAUGAUAUAAAUUGUGUAGGUGACAGAAUGUGAAUU